rnacentral:rRNA from 1 species
AACGAACGCUGGCGGCAGGCUUAACACUUGCAAGUCGAACGCAUCCUUCGGGGUGAGUGGCAGACGGGUGAGUAACGCGUGGGAACGUGCCCUUCAGUUCGGGAUAACCCAGGGAAACUUGGGCUAAUACCGGAUACGUGCGCGAGCCGACAGAUUUAGCGCGGAAGGAUCGGCCCGCGUCUGAUUAGCUAGUUGGUGGGGUAAUGGCCCACCAAGGCGACGAUCAGUAGCUGGUCUGAGAGGAUGAUCAGCCACAUUGGGACUGAGACACGGCCCAAACUCCUACGGGAGGCAGCAGUGGGGAAUAUUGGACAAUGGGCGCAAGCCUGAUCCAGCCAUGCCGCGUGAGUGAUGAAGGCCUUAGGGUUGUAAAGCUCUUUCGUCCGGGACGAUAAUGACGGUACCGGAAGAAGAAGCCCCGGCUAACUUCGUGCCAGCCGCCGCAGUAACAC